rnacentral:rRNA from 1 species
GUCGGCUCAUCGCAUCCUGGGGCUGAAGCAGGUCCCAAGGGUUUGGCUGUUCGCCAAUUAAAGCGGUACGUGAGCUGGGUUUAGAACGUCGUGAGACAGUUCGGUCCCUAUCUGUUGUGGGCGCAGGAUACUUGAGGGGAUCUGUUCCUAGUACGAGAGGACCGGAAUGGACAAACCUCUAGUUUACCAGUUGUCACGCCAGUGGCAUAGCUGGGUAGCUAUGUUCGGAAGGGAUAACCGCUGAAGGCAUCUAAGCGGGAAACCCACCCCAAGAUUAGGUAUCCCCUCCACCCAAGGGUGGACUAAAGACCCCUUGUAGACCACAAGGUUGAUAGGUUGGAUGUGUAAGUUCGGUAACGAACUCAGCUAACCAAUACUAAUAGGUCGUGAGGCUUGACCAUAACCUUA